GAUGAAGAACGUAGCGAAAUGCGAUACGUAAUGUGAAUUGCAGAAUUCAGUGAAUCAUCGAAUCUUUGAACGCAUAUUGCGCUCUCUGGUAUUCCGGAGAGCAUGCUUGUUUGAGUAUCAGUAAACACCUCAACUUCCAUAUCUUUUUUGAAAUGGGAGUUGGACUUGAGUGAUCCCAACGCUUUUCCUCACCGAAAAGUGGCGGGUUACUUGAAAUGCAGGUGCAGCUGGACUUUUCUCUGAGCUAUAAGCAUAUCUAUUUAGUCUGCCUAAAAAACAGAUUAUUACCUUUGCUGCAGCUAACAUAAAGGAGAUUAGUUCUUGUGCUGACUGGUGCAGGAUUCACAAAGACAGGCUUCGGCCGACUUUGUAAACUCGAUCUCAAAUCAAGUAAGACUACCCGCUGAACUUAAGCAUAUCAAUAAGCGGAGGA
rnacentral:misc_RNA from 1 species